UCCCUAGUAGCUCAGUUAGUAAAGCAUCUGCCUGCAAUGCAAGAGACCCAGGUUCAAUCCCUGGGUCGGGAA
rnacentral:tRNA from 1 species